CUUAAAACUUGUAUAAUACAGGAAUUCUCGGUGACUAUGGGCCGUUUGCACAGUCAAAGCUUAAACUCGAUUUAAUCAGCUGGUGGCUUAAACUCAAAAUGAAACACAUUGUAACAAACUAGACUUGAUACGGAUUUAAUCCAGUUUAAAAUGAAAUUUAGUUUAAACUGUCACUGCAAACGGCCCUAAAGUCAACUUUCUCAACUGGUGAGUACAACACUAAAGAUACUGUUAAUUAUUUAUCUCUUUUCCAUAUUUCUUAGCAUAGUUCUUAUAGUUCUAUUUCUCUCUGAGAGAUAAAUAAAUUUCAAUGAAUGAAUUUCUUCAAAUGAUUUGGCCAAUCAUGAGAUAUUUGAAGCCUGCAGUCAUUUACUUAUUUCUAGAAUAGCUUACAAGAAUUUAGUUUCCCUAUUAUAAGGAAAAUCGACUUUAAUAUCUCAAUAUUAUUCUUUAAUGCUAUUUUAAUUUAGGAAAUGUAGAUAUCACGAACAGCUCAUACCCAUAAAAACCAGUUAUAACACGACAGACAAUCAAAACUAAACAUCCCAGUUUCAAUAAUUAAAUUAUUGGAAACAAAAGCUUGUAAACAUCUCCACUCAAUUAUCGUCGAAAGAUAAACACGUUCUGUUUUGGUGAACUCAAUACAAUAUGAGAUUGACCCCUGCUCUAAAUUUGAUAUCAACUUGAAAAAUAUGCAUUUUUACGUGGAUUCAUUUGGUAUCUUCUGGGUUCAAAUAUCAUAUUUGUCGAGAAAAGUUUUAUGUCGAUUGAUUCAGUAUCUUUUGGGUUCAAAUAUCAUCUUUGAUGAUAACUCCUGAAGCGAAUAACCUUCUUACUCUGGUUGGGAAAUGCAGUAUAAAUAGCGAAGACUUGCGUAAGAAAGUUAGUAGUCCAUCAUACUCGAUAAGUGAUCAAUUUUUUUUUCGAAAAUUUAAAUUCCUACUCAACCAGCAUGCUUCUGUUCUCGAAACUGUUCAACCUGGGAUGUCUGGUCCUCAUGGGUCUUCUCUUCAUCACUACUCAAUCUGUUGAGGCAUCCAGUAAGAUCUGCCCCUACGGUCAGGUCCACAACGCCAAGGGAGAAUGUAUCCAGGCUUUGAAGAAACACUAAACAGAAAUGGGGAUAAACUCAAGAACGACAUACCUCUUCAUCUACUGAAUUCAUGGAACCCGUCUUCCCAUGCACACCUCAAAACCUGACUGAAACCGAAAGAAAACCACGCACUCAUUCAAAACUCAAAAAUCAAAUUACUCAUUUCUCAAUUAAAUUAAAAAUGUAAAACAAU